rnacentral:rRNA from 1 species
AGGGUUUGAUCCUGGCUCAGAUUGAACGCUGGCGGCAUGCCUUACACAUGCAAGUCGAACGGUAACAGGUUAAGCUGACGAGUGGCGAACGGGUGAGUAAUAUAUCGGAACGUGCCCAGUCGUGGGGGAUAACUGCUCGAAAGAGCAGCUAAUACCGCAUACGACCUGAGGGUGAAAGCGGGGGAUCGCAAGACCUCGCGCGAUUGGAGCGGCCGAUAUCAGAUUAGGUAGUUGGUGGGGUAAAAGCCCACCAAGCCAACGAUCUGUAGCUGGUCUGAGAGGACGACCAGCCACACUGGGACUGAGACACGGCCCAGACUCCUACGGGAGGCAGCAGUGGGGAAUUUUGGACAAUGGACGCAAGUCUGAUCCAGCCAUGCCGCGUGCGGGAAGAAGGCCUUCGGGUUGUAAACCGCUUUUGUCAGGGAAGAAAAGGUUCUGGUUAAUACCUGGGACUCAUGACGGUACCUGAAGAAUAAGCACCGGCUAACUACGUGCCAGCAGCCGCGGUAAUACGUAGGGUGCAAGCGUUAAUCGGAAUUACUGGGCGUAAAGCGUGCGCAGGCGGUUAUGCAAGACAGAUGUGAAAUCCCCGGGCUCAACCUGGGAACUGCAUUUGUGACUGCAUGGCUAGAGUACGGUAGAGGGGGAUGGAAUUCCGCGUGUAGCAGUGAAAUGCGUAGAUAUGCGGAGGAACACCGAUGGCGAAGGCAAUCCCCUGGGACCUGUACUGACGCUCAUGCACGAAAGCGUGGGGAGCAAGCAGGAUUAGAUACCCUGGUAGUCCACGCCCUAAACGAUGUCAACUGGUUGUUGGGAGGGUUUCUUCUCAGUAACGUAGCUAACGCGUGAAGUUGACCGCCUGGGGAGUACGGCCGCAAGGUUGAAACUCAAAGGAAUUGACGGGGACCCGCACAAGCGGUGGAUGAUGUGGUUUAAUUCGAUGCAACGCGAAAAACCUUACCUACCCUUGACAUGCCUGGAAUUCCGAAGAGAUUUGGAAGUGCUCGAAAGAGAGCCAGAACACAGGUGCUGCAUGGCCGUCGUCAGCUCGUGUCGUGAGAUGUUGGGUUAAGUCCCGCAACGAGCGCAACCCUUGUCAUUAGUUGCUACGAAAGGGCACUCUAAUGAGACUGCCGGUGACAAACCGGAGGAAGGUGGGGAUGACGUCAGGUCAUCAUGGCCCUUAUGGGUAGGGCUACACACGUCAUACAAUGGCCGGGACAGAGGGCUGCCAACCCGCGAGGGGGAGCUAAUCCCAGAAACCCGGUCGUAGUCCGGAUCGUAGUCUGCAACUCGACUGCGUGAAGUCGGAAUCGCUAGUAAUCGCGGAUCAGCUUGCCGCGGUGAAUACGUUCCCGGGCCUUGUACACACCGCCC